GUGGAUGACUGAGAUGUGGAAUGAUGAAAACUUGGGGAGAUGUUGAUGGCUAAGUAUGGAAGGUGAGAGAAACUUAAGUGAUGAUGAAGGAUACAAGAGUGAUGAAAACUUGGAGGUGGUGAUGGCUAAGGAUGGAAGAGAAACUUAAGUGGUGAUGAAGGAUACAAGAGUGAUGAAAACUUGGAGGUGGUGAUGGCUAAGGAUGGAAGAGAAACUUAAGUGGUGAUGAAGGAUACAAGAGUGAUGAAAACUUGGAGGUGGUGAUGGCUAAGGAUGGAAGAGAAACUUAAGUGGUGAUGAAGGAUACAAGAGUGAUGAAAACUUGGAGGUGGUGAUGGCUAAGGAUGGAAGAGAAACUUAAGUGGUGGUGAAGGAUACAAGAGUGAUGAAAACUUGGAGGUGGUGAUGGCUAAGGAUGGAAGAGAAACUUAAGUGGUGAUGAAGGAUACAAGAGUGAUGAAAACUUGGAGGUGGUGAUGGCUAAGGAUGGAAGAGAAACUGAAAAGGUGAUGAAUGAUACAAGAGUGACCGAAACUUGGAGGUGGUGAUGAUGGCAGGGAACACUUAAGAAGGCUAUGGAGGUGGUGAUGAUGGCAGGGAACACUUAGGAAGGCUAUGCGGGAUAAAUACAAGGUACGAAACGUGUACGAUGACCAACAAAAACACAUUACAUAAAUUACUAACCUAUAGAACAAGACUUAGAGCUAACGACUGAAAAAAAGACAUAGAUACAGACAACAAAGAAUAUUUAUAAGAAACAGAGAAAGACAAAGCAAUGGGAAACCAACACGAGAUAUGACAAGAUGAUAGAAAAUGACAUGUAUACAGAGACGAGAAAAAGAAGAAUGAAAAGAGAUGAUGACGGCUGGCCUUAUGAAACUGAGCCAUGACCCGGGAUUAAAGAUGAAGACGACGGGUGGUGAGUGAGGCAGCUGUGGCAGAAGCGAUGCGAGAAAAGGUAAGGUAAGAGUUAAGCCCAAAAACCAGGAAGCUCUCGGAACACACACAAACACCUCUGUGAACUUGUCUGGAUUCCACCGAUGCUUUUGCUCUUCAUCAGAGUGUGCGUCGUAUGAUUUAUGUAUACGAGCCAUUUGGUAUAUUGUGACGUUACGGCUUUCAAUGUGUCUGUGUGCAUGGUGUGUGUGUGAAAUGUGUGUGUCGUGUGGUACAGAAUAAGAAGUGCCAUUUAGGAUGUGUAACUUAGCACAUUCGUGUGUUAAAAAAUUUAGUGUCAUGUCAUCUGUUGUGUUUGUGACUGUUUUCUGGUUAGUAUGUAGUAACAGUGCAUGUAUCUGUAUGUAUCUAAGGUAUGCAUGUAUGAGUUGCAUGUAUUAUAGAUUUGGUACAUCAUGUAAUCUGUGUGGUGUAGCUUUAUAUGUAGUAACUUGUAUAGUGUGUUUUGUCUUCUGUUUUGUGUGGCAUAGCAAUCAUCGUUCUCUUUAGUCUGUAGUUUUAUGUGGCAUUCUUAAGCACCUGAAGCAGUGGACACUCAAGGAACAAGUUAACAAAUCAGUUGUGUGCAUACCAAGCCUUAAACACCACACCGGCACACCACACCGUCAAGUCCACCCCCACCGCCGCGCCAGCCAAGCCUCAACACCAAGGGAGAGAAAAUCAACGCUGGUCACUCUGAAUUAGUCGCAAACCCCGAGUGUGCUGUGUGAGGAGUCUGGCACGCGAGGACAAGUAAAGAAGUGACCGUUUGGCCUCGAGUUCUAUUGACCAAUUUUGUUUGAGCUCCUGCAGUAUAACGCUCCUGCAGUAUAACGCUCCUGCAGUAUAACGCUCCUGCAGUAUAACGCUCCUGCAGUAUAACGCUCCUGCAGUAUAACGCUCCUGCAGUAU